rnacentral:rRNA from 1 species
AGGUGAAACCGCGAAUGGCUCAUUAAAUCAGUUAUGGUUCCUUAGAUCGUACCCACUUACUUGGAUAACUGUGGUAAUUCUAGAGCUAAUACAUGCAGCUGAGCUCCGAACGCAAGUGACGAGCGCUUUUAUUAGCCAAGACCAGUCGGGCCGCGUCCGUUCAGAUGGUGACUCUGGAUAACUUUGGGCUGAUCGCACGGGCUCGUCCCGGCGACGCAUCUUUCAAGUGUCUGCCUUAUCAACUGUCGACGGUUGGUUAAAAGCCUACCGUGGUUGUUACGGGUAACGGGGAAUCAGGGUUCGAUUCCGGAGAGGGAGCCUGAGAAACGGCUACCAGUUCUAAGGAAGGCAGCAGGCGCGCAAAUUGCCCACUCAGUGCUGCUGGAGGCAGUGACGAAAAAUAACAAUACGGGACUCUUUUGAGACCCCGUAAUUGGAAUGAAUACAUUCUACACCUUUUAAUGAGUACCGAGAGAAGGACAAGCCUAGUGCCAGCACCCGCGGUAACUCUAGCUUCUUUAGCAUAUAUUGAAGUUGUUGUGGUUAAAAAGCUCGUAGUUGGAUCUGUGUUCCAGAUCGUCGAUCUGCCUACCGGCGGUUAUCGGCGUUUCUGAACAAUCAGUCGGUUUCCCUAGAUGAUCUUCACCGGUUGUCUUUGGUGACCGACGCGUUUACUUUGAAAAAAUUGGAGUGCUCAAAGCAGGCGUGACGCCUGAACAAUGGUGCAUGGAAUAAUGGAAUAGGACCUCGGUUCUGUUUUGUUGGUUUUCUGAACUAGAGGUAAUGAUUAAGAGGGACAGACGGGGCCAUUUGUACUUAUUGGCUAGGGGUGAAAUCCUAUAACCCAAUAAAGACAAACAAAAGCGAAAGCAUUUGGCAAGAAUGUUUCCGUUAAUCAAGAACGAAAGUUGGGGGUUCGAAGGCGAUCAGAUACCGCCCUAGUCUUAACUAUAAACGAUGCCAACCAGCGAUCCGCAUGAGUUCCUCAAAUGACUCUGCGGGCAGCUUCCGGGAAACCAAAGUUGG